rnacentral:rRNA from 1 species
GAUCCUGGCUCAGGAUGAACGCUGGCGGCGUGCUUAACACAUGCAAGUCGAACGAAUUACUUAAAAGAAGUCUUCGGAUGGAAAUUAAAGUAGUUAGUGGCGGACGGGUGAGUAACGCGUGGGAAACCUGCCCUAUACAGGGGGAUAGCCUCGGGAAACCGGGAUUAACACCCCAUAAAGCUCUAGAAUCGCAUGAUUCAAGAGUCAAAACUCCGGUGGUAUAGGAUGGUCCCGCGUCCCAUUAGCUAGUUGGUGAGGUAACGGCCCACCAAGGCGACGAUGGGUAGCCGGCCUGAGAGGGUGAACGGCCACACUGGAACUGAGACACGGUCCAGACUCCUACGGGAGGCAGCAGUGGGGAAUAUUGCACAAUUGGGGGGAAACCCUGAUGCAGCGACGCCGCGUGAGCGAAGAAGGCCUUCGGGUCGUAAAGCUCUGUCCUAAGGGAAGAAAAAGACGGUACCUUAGGAGGAAGCCCCGGCUAACUACGUGCCAGCAGCAGC